AGGGCACCUCGUUCGGUGAGGCGUCUUCACGGACACAGGCCACUGACCCCACGACGUCGAGAGACGCCCAGGGUCAGGACAGGUCUCCCCGGCCUAAGGGGUGACCCCAAGUGGCUACCCCGCCAAGGGGGUUACGCCGUGGAGUGCCAAAGCUCUGACGAGUUGGGGUGAGCC
rfam:Streptomyces sp. 769, complete genome.